rnacentral:lncRNA from 10 species
GGGGAGGCCUCAGGAAACUUACAAUCAUGGCAGAAGGGGGAGCAAACACAUCCUUCUUCACUUGGUGACAGGAAGGAGAAGUGCAGAGUGAAGAGGGGAAAAGCACCUUAUAAAACCAUCAGAUCUCAUUAGAACUCACUCACUAUCAUGAGAACAGCAUGAUGAAACUGCCCCCAUGAUCUAAACACCUUCCAAGAAGUCCAUUCCCCAAAACGUGGGGAUUACAAUUUGGAUUAAAAUUCAAGAUGAAAUUUGGGUGGGGACACAGUGCCAGAGUAAGUCAUUCCACCCCUGGCCCCUCCCAAAUCUCAUCUUUGUUACAUUUCAAAACACAAUUAUACCUUCCCAACAGUCCCCCAAAGUCUUAACUCAUUUCAGGCUAAACCCAGAAGUCCAAGACCAAAGUUUUAUCUGUGAGAAGGCAAGUCUUUUCUGCCUAGGAUCCUGUAAAAUCAAAAGCAAGUUAGUUACUUCCAAGACACAAUGAGGGUACAGGCAUUGGGUGAAUGCUCCAAUUUUAAAAGGGAGAAAUUGGCUCAAGGUCUGCAGCCUUUACAGGAAGCAUAGUGGCAUCUGCUUCUGGGGAGGCCUCAGGAAGCUUCCAAUCAUGGCAGAAGUCAAAGGGGGAGCAGGCACAUCACAUGGCGAGAAUGGGAGCAAGAGAGAGAGAAUGGAGGCAGGGAGGUGCCACAUACUUUUAAAUGAGAUCUUGUCAUUUACACACACAAGAAUGAGAUCUUGUCAUUUGCCAUAAUAUGGAUGAGCUUGGAGGAAAUUAUGCUAAGUGAAAUAAGCUAAAUACAGAAAGAAAAAUAAUUCGUGAUUCACUUACAUGUGGAAUAUUAAAGAACAAUCAAACACACUGUGGCACUUCAUAUCUGUAGUUUCCACAUCCACAAAUUCAACGAAUCGUAGUUUUAAAAUAUUUGGACAAAACAGAAAAUACACAGUAAAAAAUACUAAAAAGUACUACAAAUAAUAAACAAUACAGCAUAACAACUAGUUACAUAGUGUUUACAUUGUAUUAUAUAUCAUAAGUAAUCUUGAGAUGAUUUAAAGUGUACAGGAGGCUGUGCAUAGGUUAUAUGCAAAUACCACACCAUUUUAUAUAAGAAAUUUGAGCAUUGGUCGAUUUUGUUAUCCACAGGGGUCCUGGAACAAAUCCCCCACAGAUACUGAGGGACAACUCUAUACAGAGAUAGGGAACAAAGCAGUGGUUACUAGGGUAGGGUUGAAGAGGAAAUGGAGAGGUGUGGACCAGAGGAAACAAUGUAGGAGAUAUAUAGAAUGAACAAGUCUGGAGAUCUAUUGUACAUCAUGAAGACUACAGGUCAUGUGCCACCUCCUCCAGGAAGACCAACUUGAUUUCCCCAAUUUAAACCAAUUCUUAAUUUUUCUACAUUCCCAGGGUACCUAUUCACACCUUCAUUCUGGCCCAGAAGUCUAAUCCCGCUCAUUGCCUAUUUUGUAAAUAAAAUUCUA